GACGAACGCUGGCGGCGUGCUUAACACAUGCAAGUCGAGCGGUAAGGCCCUUUCGGGGGUACACGAGCGGCGAACGGGUGAGUAACACGUGGGUGACCUGCCCUUAGCUCUGGGAUAAGCCUGGGAAACUGGGUCUAAUACCGGAUAUGACUCCAUGACGCAUGUUGUGGGGUGGAAAGCCUUGUGCGGCUAGGGAUGGGCCUGCGGCCUAUCAGCUUGUUGGUGGGGUGAUGGCCUACCAAGGCGACGACGGGUAGCCGGCCUGAGAGGGCGACCGGCCACACUGGGACUGAGACACGGCCCAGACUCCUACGGGAGGCAGCAGUGGGGAAUCUUGCGCAAUGGGCGAAAGCCUGACGCAGCGACGCCGCGUGGGGAGU
rnacentral:rRNA from 1 species